GGAGGGGGUUAGCGUUGUUCAGAAUUACUGGGAGUAAAGCGCACGUAGGCAGAUUAAAAAGUAAGGGGUGAAAUCCCGGGGCUCAACCCCGGAACUGCCUCUUAAACUGCUGGUCUUGAGUUCGAGAGAGGUGAGUGGAAUUCCGAGUGUAGAGGUGAAAUUCGUAGAUAUUCGGAGGAACACCAGUGGCGAAGGCGGCUCACUGGCUCGAUACUGACGCUGAGGUGCGAAAGUGUGGGGAGCAAACAGGAUUAGAUACCCUGGUAGUCCACACCGUAAACGAUGAAUGCCAGUCGUCGGGUAGCAUACUAUUCGGUGACACACCUAACGGAUUAAGCAUUCCGCCUGGGGAGUACGGUCGCAAGAUUAAAACUCAAAGGAAUUGACGG
rnacentral:rRNA from 1 species